rnacentral:rRNA from 1 species
CGCUCUUUGGAAAAAUUUUUAUGUAUAAAGAGUUCUGCCUGCCCGGUGAUAAGUUAAACGGCCGCGGUAUUUUGACCGUGCAAAGGUAGCAUAAUCAUUUGCCUUUUAAAUGGAGGCUGGUAUGAAUGGCAAGACGGAGAUUUAGCUGUCUCUUUCUUAUAGUUUUGAAAUUAAUAUUCUUGUGAAGAAGCGGGAAUAGAUUCGUGGGACGAGAAGACCCUAUUGAGCUUUUAGUUUUCAUUCUUAGUAAAUAAAAAAGUUUUAUAAAACUAAUUAAGAGAAGUGUCUGGAAGUAAAGUUAUUUUAAGAACUUUUUUACUUUUGAAUUAAUUUGGAUUGGGGCAAUCGUGGAGAAUAAAUAACCUCCAUUUUUACAAUAUAAAAAUUCGACAUGUUUGGAUAAAUAUAUUUUAUAGUAAAUGAUCCACCUAGUCAGGUGAUUAAAGGAAUAAGUUACCAUAGGGAUAACAGCGUAAUUUUUUUGGAGAGUUCAUAUUGAUAAAAAAGUUUGCGACCUCGAUGUUGGAUCGGGAUUUCCUAGGGAUGCAGCAGUUCCUGAGGGUUGGUCUGUUCGACCAUUAAAAUCCU